ACAGUUUCAGGGGGUGGGGGACUGGAAUCCAGGAUACAUACAUAGAAACAAGAGACGGACAAUGUGUGUGAACAAAUCUCUUUCUCUUUCCCUCUAUUUGAUCUCACAAAUAUGCUUCAUUCUAAGGAUUUUAUGUUAUCUGAGACUAGCAUGCAAAAAUUUGGUUGUGUGACGAUGAAAAGGACGGAUUCUCGGUACAAUUCACUGUGCAAGUCAUCAUAUUUCAUUGGCUCAAAUGAUAACUUUGUGGGAGACAAGAUUGUAGCAGAGACAUUUUGUCAUCUGCAUCAUUCAAGAUAAUUGCUUUAUUCUACGGUAUGCUUCGAAUACAUUACUUUUCAAAUUGUAAAAAAUAUAUUAUUAUAGUGUUUUUUCAAAUGAUUUGCAUCACAUUAGGUUAUGCAUGCGAACAGUUUUGCCUGUGCAUUUUUAUUUAUCUCGGUCUAGUUAAUUUUGUCAUUGUUUUUAUUACGGCAAACUGAAUUGAGAUAAAAUUAUGAUUGUUUGUGCAUAAUAGAGUAUGUAAUUAAAUAUUAAUAAUACACAGCAAAUUGUUACACGUUACAGAAUUACAAUAAUUAUAAAAAUAACGUAUUGUAUUUAUUUUAUACGUGACAAUACAUACUUAUUGAAUACAGUAUCGACGCUACACAUAGCUUAAGUAACUAGCUAAAGCAAUACUUAUACAUUUAAAUGCGUUUGUCAUAUAAUUUUGUAAAUAUAUCUGUAAAUAUAAUAUUUAAACUAAUAUAUAAAGCAACUAGUAUUUAAGUUUAUCUAUGUGUAUAUAUAUAUAUAUGUAAUAUAUUAAAGUGGUUCAAAAAAACACGACCAUCCAAUUUUAUUUGCGCAUGCCUUUUGAAAGAUUCGAGAUGUUGAAUGAAUGCUGCAGCCGCAGGAGGACGUAUACGAUCAACUUUUGUAGGUCGUGAAAUGCGUUUAAAGGUCUUUUUUUUGGCGGCUUUAGUUUUUAUUUAAAAAAUGAUUUCCCCUCCAAAGAGUUCAUGAUUUCUUUGAUUAUUCAUGAAUACUCAAUUUCGAAAAAUAUAGAACUAUUCAAUAAAUUCAGUGAAUAGUUCUUUAGAAUAUGAGUUUCAUCAGCUACAUUGGAUCUGUUGGUUUUAUGAUGUUUAUAAAUAAAAAUACAUUUUCUGGCAUAAAGAAUUCAUGAUAAACAUAAUAUUUUGUGAUUCUAUAGUUCUGAAGUUUUUUAUACAUAACAAUUGUUUUCCAAGAAAGCUGCAUUAUUUAAUAAGCAUAGACAUUCGACGAUAAGAGUGACUUUAGUGAGUGAAGCCAGAAUUGAUGAAAUUUCAAGAGCAAGUAAACGUGUUUUUUAAGCACUGGUGAAAAUCUGGUAAAAUAUCCUAUUUCUUGAGGAAUUUUUCCACAAUUCCCCAUCAAAUCCGUCAAAAACGGAAGUCAUGAGAAUUUAUUGAAAA